rnacentral:lncRNA from 1 species
UUCAAAACAGUUGGUUCUUCUACUUGAAUGCUUGAUUCCGUAUUAGUAACUAUGUUUUACAAUCGUUGUAAAAAUGUGGCUAAUAAAAAGUAGAAGAUUAAUGAGAGAAGAGAAAGUACUUCACAUUCGGAAUGUGAAUCAAAUGUAGAUCUCUGCGAAAGCAGAUGGUACUUACUUCCUCAUGAACUACCAUAGAAAUUGGAAAAAUCAAAGAUUGUCUUUACAUUCCAAUUGAAUAAAGGAACUUAAUUCCGUAUGUUAAAUGGAUAAAUGUUUUGUUUGACAAAACAUUGUUCUUUAUUAAUGAAUGAUUAGAUUAUUGUAAUCUAAUUAAUUAUCUCUAUAGUAGAGAUGAUAUGGUAGUGUUAACUGUUUAGAAUAUAACAAUGCUUAAAACCCAAAAGGUUGCAAGAUAGUGACUAAUCCCAACUGAGUUAUGAUACCUCAAAAACAUAAAAUACGAGUUGGUCAUAGAUGGAUGCUUUGGAUCAUUAGAUCCGGAUCCAAUACCUUCUUAUUAAAAUUGUAUAGAGGUGAAAUGUUCGAAUCUUUAUUCUUUUGGAAAGAAGAAAGAAUCACAAAGUUGUUGAGGUUAAUUCACUUAGAUGUUAGUGGCACUUGUCCAAAACAUAAUACUACUCAUGUUGUUUGACAUUCACCGAAGAUCGCUCUCGGUUGGACUAUAGUUUAUUUUGAAUAAACACAAGUCCGAAUACUUUGCAA